UACGUAGGGGGCAAGCGUUGUCCGGAAUCAUUGGGCGUAAAGCGCGUGUAGGCGGCUCGGUAAGUCUGCUGUGAAAGUCCAGGGCUCAACCCUGGGAUGCCGGUGGAUACUGUCGAGCUCGAGUCCGGAAGAGGCGAGUGGAAUUCCUGGUGUAGCGGUGAAAUGCGCAGGAUAUCAGGAGGAACACCAAUGGCGAAGGCAGCUCGCUGGGACGUGACUGACGCUGAGACGCGAAAGCGUGGGGAGCAAACAGG
rnacentral:rRNA from 1 species